UACGUAGGGUGCGAGCGUUGUCCGGAAUUAUUGGGCGUAAAGAGCUUGUAGGCGGUUUGUCGCGUCUGCUGUGAAAAUCCGGGGCUCAACCCCGGACUUGCAGUGGGUACGGGCAGGCUAGAGUGUGGUAGGGGAGACUGGAAUUCCUGGUGUAGCGGUGAAAUGCGUUGAUAUCAGGAGGAACACCCAUGGCGAAGGCAGCAAACUGGGCAUUAUCUGACGCUGAGGCGCGAAAGCGUGGGUAGCAAACAGG
rnacentral:rRNA from 1 species